CAACAAACCCACCACCAUCUUUUAUUUUCUUAAUUUGUUUUUCGUGAUUUCUACUUCUUCUUCUUCUUUCACCCAUAAUCGAAAGCUUCAUUUCAACCAAUAUUUGAUAACACGCAUCUAUCUAACUUUCUUCAUUCCAUCAUAAUCAAAUGGAUAUUUAUUAGAUAUAUAUUUUGACAAUGGCGGAGAUUCAUAGAUCCAUCAAAAAUAGGAAGGGAUUCUAUGUGAAGAUGAAGUUUUUCCGUACCAAAAAUGGGAAAUUAGAGAAACCAUUUUUCGUCAGAUACUUCAAAUGGCUUUUAUGGUUUUCAUUAUCAUUUUAUUUCUUUGCUAAGUUUCUUAAUAAUCACGAACCCGAUACUACUUCUUUGAAGACAACCGUACCGUCGCAUUCUUCGCAAUCAAAUUUCAUUUCUCGUGCCCUUUCCGAAUCCUCAAUUAUCCAACAUCCUAAAAACAACCAAGGUAUAUUGAAGGGGAUGAAAGUAUAUGUAUACGAAUUACCAUCAAAGUACAACACGGAUUGGCUAGCAAACGAGCGAUGUAGCAACCAUUUAUUCGCUUCAGAAGUAGCGAUUCAUCGAGCAUUGUUGAAAAGCGAUUUCCGAACAUCUGACCCGUACGAUGCUGAUUUUUUCUAUGUACCUGUUUACGUUUCUUGCAACUUUAGCACCGUGAAUGGAUUUCCCGCCAUUGGUCACGCCCGUGGUCUCCUAUCGUCUGCGGUCAACCACAUAUCCUCGGAGCUCCCGUUUUGGAACCGGAGCAACGGGUCGGAUCACGUAUUCGUUGCUUCUCAUGAUUAUGGAGCCUGUUUCCAUGCUAUGGAGGAUCGAGCAAUUGCUGGUGGAAUACCGGAGUUCAUGAAGAAAUCGAUAAUAUUACAAACAUUCGGUGUAAAAUACCAACAUCCUUGUCAAAAUGUGGACAGCAGUGUCGUCAUUCCGCCUUACGUUUCACCACGAAGCCUGCAAUCGACGUUGGAAAAGUCUCCGAUCGAUGGUCCGCGCGACAUCUUUGUGUUCUUUCGUGGAAAAAUGGAAGUCCAUCCCAAAAACGUCAGCGGACGUUUCUAUAGCAAGCGUGUAAGGACGGAAAUAUUGCGAAAGUAUGGAAAUGACAAGAGAUUUUAUUUAAAGCGACACCGUUUUGCUGGUUACCAAAACGAGAUAGUUCGAUCGGUGUUUUGUUUGUGCCCGUUAGGAUGGGCACCUUGGAGUCCAAGGCUAGUGGAAUCGGUUGCGUUAGGUUGCGUUCCCGUUAUAAUAGCGGACGGAAUCCGUCUACCAUUCGAAUCCACGGUUUCGUGGUCGGAUAUAUCUUUAACCGUAAGGGAAAAAGAUAUAUCCAAACUUGGUGGCAUACUAGAGGACGUGGCGUCAACAAACUUAUCGGCAAUACAACGAAAUUUAUGGGACCAUAAGCUCCGACGGGCCCUUCUUUUCCAUGAUGACGUGGAAUACGGCGAUGCAACAUGGGAGGUCCUUGUUGCGUUAUCCAAAAAAAUCGGUAGGUCUCACCGGCGGUCGAAGGUUUCGAGCGAGUGAAGGGGUUACACGUGGCGAUUUUCGAUUGGAAAGGCGGUUGCCAGCUAAUUUUGUUUGGUUCCAACAUGGCAUUGGUGUGUGGGACCCGGGGUUGUGGUGGCUGAGUUGGCAAUUGUUUGUAUGUAUAUGUGUAUGGGGUUGGGAUGGGAUGAGGUGAGGUGAAGUGAAGUGGUCCUCAUGGGUUGAUAAUGUAGACCAACCUGUCAAUGAUAGGAAGUGUUUGUUCACAUUUUGUUCUAGCAAAGUUAGUCUCCAGCAACUUCGUCUGCUUUAAUUAUUAGUUUUAUUAUGUUUGCGAGAAGUAUAUUUGAAGAUAAAAUAUUAGGUAAGGGUCAUGAAGCUGUUAAGAAAAAGGUUUGAAAACAACCAUUAAAAUACCAGUUAAUUCGUCUAUAUAUGUCAUAGACAAAAGCUCUAAUUUCUCUA